UGUUAUGAUCAGAGGACCCAGAGAUCCUGAAACAUUAUCAGGAGGAUAUUUAGUAAAACAAAAACCAGCACAGAAAAUGUUCAACAGGGUGUAAACAUUGCAAUGGUUUAUGUUCAGCCAUUCAAAGACAGAGUGGGUGGCGGCCACAGAGGAGGAAGAGAGAAAGAGGGUCCUCCCACAUGAAUGAGGAAGAUGUUUGUUUCAACUAUACGGAAUCUGGACCUUUUUCACAGAGAUUGUGAUCAAUAUCCUCGUAAGAAAGACCGAGACAGAGGAAGACACCAGACAACGCUCUUCCUCAAACCUCAAACUGACUGGAUUUUCUCCUCUGAUCUGAUUGUGAGGAUGGGACACACUCUGCUCUGUAAACUGGAGUUCAUCUUAGUUCUCUAUUCACUCCUCCACUGUGGACUCACUCAAGAUCCUGUGUUGACUUUUGAACCACAAAGGUCAACUUAUUAUAUUGGAGAAUCUUUAACCUUCAAAUGUGACAUGAGAGAAGGAGGAACAAAUGACUGGGAAUAUAUAUUAUACAAAAGAGGUCAUACAUUAUAUGAUUACUACACAAAUCCAGUCUUCUCGUUUCCUCUGAAUGAACAUCACAGUGGUGAUUAUCAGUGCUGUGGUCACUGGAAAGGUUCAGAUUAUACAAGGUGCAGCAACAUCGUUUCUAUAAAUG